rnacentral:lncRNA from 1 species
UGUAUUUACGUCAUAUCCAUAAUCUCAUCAUACGAAGAGCUUAAAUUCAGGUUGAGGUAUUAAAAUAGGCAACAUAUGACAUAAUUUUAUCAAAGUUGGGCCUGAGUGGUAAUCACCAAUAGAAUAUCAAAUCUAACCUUGUCCAAGCUUUGCUCCAAUAGUCUCCAAUCCACUAGUUUUAUGAAAGUUGCAAGAUGGUCUACCAUUCGCCUGUUUACAUGUAAAAGUACAAGAGAUCAUCAAAGCACUGAGCCUAUCUCUCUAAGGAAAGAAAACAAGUUGAAUCAAAAUUGAAUUACUACAAGAGAAAUUGCUUUCUUGACUCAUGCACAUCGACAUAAAUAAGCCAGUUAUGAAUGUCAAAUAGUAGAAUAAGUAUUUGGUAGACACAACACCAAAUCUAACCUUAUCCAUUUGCUUUGCUCCACUAGUCUCCAAUGCAAUAGUUUUCUGAAUGUUGCAAGGUCUAACAGUAGAUUGUUUACAUGUAAAUGUCCAAGAGAUCAUUAGAGCAUUAAGC